AUUGAACGCUGGCGGCAUGCUUUACACAUGCAAGUCGAACGGCAGCGUGGGCUUCGGCCUGGCGGCGAGUGGCGAACGGGUGAGUAAUACAUCGGAACGUGCCCAGUAGUGGGGGAUAGCUCGGCGAAAGCCGGAUUAAUACCGCAUACGACCUGAGGGUGAAAGCGGGGGAUCUUCGGACCUCGCGCUAUUGGAGCGGCCGAUGGCAGAUUAGCUAGUUGGUGGGGUAAAGGCCUACCAAGGCGACGAUCUGUAGCUGGUCUGAGAGGACGACCAGCCACACUGGGACUGAGACACGGCCCAGACUCCUACGGGAGGCAGCAGUGGGGAAUUUUGGACAAUGGGCGAAAGCCUGAUCCAGCAAUGCCGCGUGUGUGAUGAAGGCCUUCGGGUUGUAGAGCACUUUUGGCGGGAACGAAAAGGACUGUGCCAAUACCACGGUUCGAUGACGGUACCCGCAGAAUAAGCACCGGCUAACUACGUG
rnacentral:rRNA from 1 species